AGACCCGAAACCCGGUGAUCUAGCCAUGGGCAGGUUGAAGGUUGGGUAACACUAACUGGAGGACCGAACCGACUAAUGUUGAAAAAUUAGCGGAUGACCUGUGGCUGGGGGUGAAAGGCCAAUCAAACCGGGAGAUAGCUGGUUCUCCCCGAAAGCUAUUUAGGUAGCGCCUCGUGAAUUCAUCUCCGGGGGUAGAGCACUGUUUCGGCUAGGGGGCCAUCCCGGCUUACCAACCCGAUGCAAACUGCGAAUACCGGAGAAUGUUAUCACGGGAGACACACGGCGGGUGCUAACGUCCGUCGUGAAGAGGGAAACAACCCAGACCGCCAGCUAAGGUCCCAAAGUCAUGGUUAAGUGGGAAACGAUGUGGGAAGGCCCAGACAGCCAGGAUGUUGGCUUAGAAGCAGCCAUCAUUUAAAGAAAGCGUAAUAGCUCACUGGUCGAGUCGGCCUGCGCGGAAGAUGUAACGGGGCUAAACCAUGCACCGAAGCUGCGGCAGCGACGCUGAUGCGUUGUUGGGUAGGGGAGCGUUCUGUAAGCCUGUGAAGGUGUGUCGUGAGGCAUGCUGGAGGUAUCAGAAGUGCGAAUGCUGACAUAAGUAACGAUAAAGCGGGUGAAAAGCCCGCUCGCCGGAAGACCAAGGGUUCCUGUCCAACGUUAAUCGGGGCAGGGUGAGUCGACCCCUAAGGCGAGGCCGAAAGGCGUAGUCGAUGGGAAACGGGUUAAUAUUCCCGUACUUGGUGUUACUGCGAAGGGGGGACGGAGAAGGCUAUGUUGGCCGGGCGACGGUUGUCCCGGUUUAAGCGUGUAGGUGUGUGUUCCAGGUAAAUCCGGUUCACUUUAACACUGAGGCGUGAUGACGAGGCACUACGGUGCUGAAGCAACAAAUGCCCUGCUUCCAGGAAAAGCCUCUAAGCAUCAGGUAACAUCAAAUCGUACCCCAAACCGACACAGGUGGUCAGGUAGAGAAUACCAAGGCGCUUGAGAGAACUCGGGUGAAGGAACUAGGCAAAAUGGUGCCGUAACUUCGGGAGAAGGCACGCUGACACGUAGGUGAAGUGAUUUACUCACGGAGCUGAAGUCAGUCGAAGAUACCAGCUGGCUGCAACUGUUUAUUAAAAACACAGCACUGUGCAAACACGAAAGUGGACGUAUACGGUGUGACGCCUGCCCGGUGCCGGAAGGUUAAUUGAUGGGGUCAGCGCAAGCGAAGCUCCUGAUCGAAGCCCCGGUAAACGGCGGCCGUAACUAUAACGGUCCUAAGGUAGCGAAAUUCCUUGUCGGGUAAGUUCCGACCUGCACGAAUGGCGUAAUGAUGGCCAGGCUGUCUCCACCCGAGACUCAGUGAAAUUGAACUCGCUGUGAAGAUGCAGUGUACCCGCGGCAAGACGGAAAGACCCCGUGAACCUUUACUAUAGCUUGACACUGAACAUUGAGCCUUGAUGUGUAGGAUAGGUGGGAGGCUUUGAAGUGUGGACGCCAGUCUGCAUGGAGCCGACCUUGAAAUACCACCCUUUAAUGUUUGAUGUUCUAACGUGGACCCGUAAUCCGGGUUGCGGACAGUGUCUGGUGGGUAGUUUGACUGGGGCGGUCUCCUCCUAAAGAGUAACGGAGGAGCACGAAGGUUGGCUAAUCCUGGUCGGACAUCAGGAGGUUAGUGCAAUGGCAUAAGCCAGCUUGACUGCGAGCGUGACGGCGCGAGCAGGUGCGAAAGCAGGUCAUAGUGAUCCGGUGGUUCUGAAUGGAAGGGCCAUCGCUCAACGGAUAAAAGGUACUCCGGGGAUAACAGGCUGAUACCGCCCAAGAGUUCAUAUCGACGGCGGUGUUUGGCACCUCGAUGUCGGCUCAUCACAUCCUGGGGCUGAAGUAGGUCCCAAGGGUAUGGCUGUUCGCCAUUUAAAGUGGUACGCGAGCUGGGUUUAGAACGUCGUGAGACAGUUCGGUCCCUAUCUGCCGUGGGCGCUGGAGAACUGAGGGGGGCUGCUCCUAGUACGAGAGGACCGGAGUGGACGCAUCACUGGUGUU
rnacentral:rRNA from 1 species